CCAAUUUUUGGUCAGGUAUGUCUUCAUUUAAAAGAUUAUAAUUUCUUCAAAAACAUGUGUGCUUUAAAAAGGAACAAUGGUGAAGUUGAAUAUUUGUUAUGUAGGAUGGGAGUCUUUGAUGUGUUCUGUGAAGAACAUCAUUGCAAAUGGUAGUAAAGAGGUUUCCCUUGCUGCAGUAGGGUGUUUGCAAAUGGGGCUAACAUGAAACAACAGUUUCAACUAAUAAAUUGAUUUGCACCAUAAUUUCUUUUUAACAAAACAUGUUUAUAAGUUAUAUAGCAAUCUGUUCACAACAGAAACCAUUUCAUUUUCAUAAAAAGCCUGCUCCACUUAGCAACCUCACUGUUUCAUUAGGAAUGAUAACAUUAGGAUUCCUAACAGUAACAGGUGGAUAUGUUUUGCUAUGAACUGAUUUGUAAGAUUCAUUGACCUGAAGACUAAGGGCCCUCAUUGUUGGAAGUAUUGGAGAGUUUUUAUCAGCUGCUUUGCUGCCUCCAGAGCCAUUAGCUGUCCAAAAUGUUGUGGAUUUUUCAAAGAUGAUUGGAGCAUUAGAUGUAAAUGAAAAUCUUACACAUCUUGUGUCAGGGAUCAUUUUCUUUUGCCUCAAGAGAACAAAGACCAAGCUAGUACAACAAAAUCAAUAUUUUCUGCAAAGGAUUACAAUGAUCAUAUGGCACUUGUGUGUGAAUAUGAAGGAUGGAAAGAAGCUGAAAGAGAAGGAUAUGCUUAUAAAUAUUGCUGGAGGAAUUUCCUUUAUGCUCAAACACU